GUUGGUGUUCUCCAUAGAAUCAGUCGUUUCAUAAAGAAGCUGAAGCUGCGGCGUGGAGUUGCUUCUGAGAUUCAAGAUAUCAAAUCAGCACUUGCUGCUAUAAAGGGAAGGGGAGAAAGCUAUCGAUUCAGAUCUAGUGAUGAACCAUCGAGCAGUGGAACCAGAAAUGUUAUCCCACAUGACUCUCGAGUUGGUUCCUUUUUUGUUGAAGAUGAUGAAGUUGUGGGCAUCGAAUCCAUUAAAGAUAAAUUGAUUGAUUUGAUGGUGAACGGAAGAUCCGAACGUUCAGUGGUUGCUGUGGUGGGUGAAGGAGGACUAGGCAAGACCACUCUUGCCGGAAAACUUUUUAACAAUGAUGGUUUAAAAACUCACUUCAGUAGCCGGGCUUGGGUCACCGUUGGGAAAGAAUACAACAAAAAUGAUUUGUUGAGGACAGUUAUAAAGGAGUUUCACCGUUUCUCAGGGCAACCUACUCCAGAGGAGACAGGCAACAUGGGAGAGAUGGACCUGAUCACCACGCUGAGGGACCACCUGAAGGACAAGAGUUACAUGGUUGUGUUCGACGAUGUUUGGAAGAUUGAUUUCUGGGGAGACGUGGAGCAUGCUUUACUUGAUAACAAGAAAUACAGCAGGAUAAUUGUCACAACACGGCUCAUGAAUGUCGCUAAGUAUUGCAAAUCAUCUUCCUCUGUUCACGUCCAUGAGCUUGAAACUUUGCCUCUAUAUGAGGCGUGGAAACUUUUUUGUAGAAAGGCGUUCGGACCAAGCUCCGGAGGCUCUUGUCCUUCAGAGUUGAAGGAGUUGUCCCAGGACAUCCUUGCAAAAUGUGGAGGUUUGCCUCUUGCUAUCGCGGCCAUAGGUGGACUUCUUUCAACCAAGAACAGGGUUGUAUCUGAAUGGAAGAAAUUAUUUGAUCGGUUGGGCUCAAUCUUAGGAGGUGAACCCCAUCUAAAAGACUGCAACAGAGUUUUAUCUGAAGGGUGUCAUGAUCUUCCUCACCAUCUCAAAUCAUGUCUUCUCUACUUUGGCUUAUUUCAAGAGAGCUGCAAAGUUAACUGUGCUACACUCAUCCGUUUGUGGAUAGCUGAGGGCUUUGUCCAGUACAGCAACCGCCCCACAUCUGAACAAGUUGCAGAAGAAUACUUGAAUGAGCUCAUUGACAGAAGCUUGGUUCAAGUUUCAGAGAGAGAUAUUUCUGGACGAGCUAGAAUCUGCCAAGUUCAUGAUCUUAUGCACGAGAUCGUCAUCAGAAAAACUGAAGAAUUGGGCUUUGGUCGUGUGCUGAACGGAGAGGACUUGAGUCAUUGCAGUAAAACUCGACGCAUAACUAUACAGAGAAGUAUUGAUGAUAGUGCUUUAGAGAGCAUCAAGGACUGGAAGGUCCGUUCUGUUUUUCUUUUCAAUGUAGAUAAGCUGCCCGACUCUUUCAUGAAUACAAGUAUUGCCAAUUUCAAGCUCAUGAAAGUACUAGAUCUGGAAGAUGCUCUUAUAGUUUACCUUCCUGAAGGAGUGGCAAGCUUACUCAAUUUACACUACUUGAGUUUGAGAAAUACAAAAGUAGAAAUAAUUCCCAAGUCCAUUGGAAAUCUUCUCAGUUUAGAGACUUUGAAUAUGAAAAAUACUUUGGUGAGAGAACUGAUUAAACAAAAACAAACUUUAUGCCCUUAAUCGUGCAUUUCCAAAUAAACACAUAUUUUAGGUAAUUUCGAAAUUUACCAUGAUCUCCCAUGAAUCCGACCUUGGAAGCUUGUUAUGGAGCUUUAUCGAGUUGCUACAAGCCUGAUCUAACUUCAGAAUUCCGCUUCCUUUGCUUCAGUUCCAGAAUCGGCUUUUCUCAACAAGUUACUGUACACACACGGGAGAGAAACGGGAGAGAGAGAGGUGCACUGCACUCGUGCCACAGAUUUCUUGAACAGUGAACUUCCAAUGGGCUGAAGUUACUUAAAUACAGUGGUUGAGCGCAAGGACCCCUCAUGUGUUAGUACAAAAUUGCCCAUCCCAUUAUGAGCUAAAUAACACAAUCAAGGAUUAUACUUGUCUAUAAUAUACUACUGUCUAGGGUAUGUCAAAAUCAGACUCAUUAACACAAUAUUUGAUCACUUAAUAAAUGAGUCUGUCAAAAUUGCUCCAUAAUAUUUGACAAUAGUCACGUAUUAAUUCAGUAAAAUAUAGAAAACAAUUAGAAUGAUUUAUGCCAGUCCACAUAAUGUGAGAAAUAAAUCUAACAAUCUCACACUUAGACGGCAGAAAUCACUCUAAGGAUAAAUUUAAAAAUAAAAUCAGAUGUAGAAAACAACCGAAUUAAUCAAUAUGUGACUAUAACAAAAGGUCAAAUGCAAGCAAUCACCCAAAACAUAAAUAAGUCCAAAGGUGCCAUAAAUAUCAAGUCAUAUGUGCACCGACAGGAUGCUCCACAUAACAAGACACUUAUAAACACGUGACUAUGCAGUAGUAUAAAAGUAUAAUUAUGGAAAUAACAUGACAAUGUGAUCAACAUGCUCAUUUCCACAAAGUCCACAUGUCUAGCAAAAUGAGACGAAAACAAUAUGUCUCCUAGACCAUUGCUUCUUUAUAACCAUAAUAAGACUCUAGCAAAAUGUCUCGAGAAGCGGGCUUCCCUUUUAAUCAUAAUGAGACUAAAUCAAAAUGUCUCAAGGAAGUCGUGCUUUCUUAUAAUUAUAAUGAGACUAAAUCAAAAUGUCUCAAGAUGCACACGGAAGGUAAGUCAUAAUGCUUCAGUCUUUAAUGUCCAUAUUGAGACUGAGCAAAAAUGUCUCGGACCAUAAUAUCCUCAUUCUAUACAUAAUGCCAUACGCAGCCAAAUGUGUACACAAUAUAUGGCAUAUCAAUAUCACAUAACAACAUGCAUGCAUGAUAACAAAACGAGUAAUACAUAAUCUCAUUUAAGUUGCAACUCAUAAUACAAACCAGAACUCCCACUGACUCAGCAUAUAUAAGUGGAUUCUAAUAAUCUCAUAUGCGUCACAUGCUCCCUAAAUACCUUUGGAGCUAAAGCUUUAGUAAGUGGAUCGGCUAACAUGAGUUCUGUAGGAAUAUACUCUACUGAUACAUAAGAUAGAGAAAUUUUCUCUCUCACAAAUAAGUAUUUAAUAUCAAUGUGCUUGGAACGUGAGGAACUCCCUGUAUUGUGAGAAAAAGAAACAGCUGCAGAAUUAUCACAGUAUAUUUUUAAUGGCCUCGGUACGGCCAAUAUACAAUCUAGCCCUGUGAUAAAAUUCUGCAUCCAUAAAGCUUGACGUGUAGCCUCAAAACAUGCUACAUAUUCUGCUUCCAUUGUUGAAGAAGCUAUGAGUGUCUGCUUGGCACUUUUCCAUGAUAUAGCUCCUCCUGCCAUCAUAAAGAUGUAACCAGAUGUGGAUUUCUUGUCUUCCAAGCACCCUGCGAAAUCAGCAUCAGAAUAUCCAACUAUAUUCAAAUAGUCAGAUUGCUGAUAUGUCAAUACAAAAUCUUUAGUGGCUUGCAAAUAUCUGAGUACUUUCUUUGCAGCCUUCCAGUGUUCAUAUCCAGGAUUGCUCAGGUAUCUUCCAAGUACUCCCACUGGAAAAGCAAUAUCAGUGCGAGUACAGACUUGAGCAUACAUCAAGCUACCCACAACAAAUGCAUACGGGACUGUUUGCAUUCUAGCUUUGUCGACAUCAUUAUCGGGACAUUGAGACUUGGAAAUCUUGUCACCUUUUGACAUUGGAGCUUGCCCAGGAGCACAAGACUGCAAAUUGAACCUUUUCAAAAUACGAUCAAUGUAAGUCUUUUGAGACAAUCCUAGAAUUCCUCUAGAUCUGUCACGAAGAAUCUCUAUCCCUAAUACAUAAUGGGCUUCACCAAGAUCCUUCAUAUCAAAGCUGUAUGACAACAUUUGCUUUGUCUCAAGUAAAAAAUUAGUGCCAUUAGCAGCGAGCAAGAUAUCAUCCACAUAAAGCACCAAAAUGAUAUACUUGCUCUCACUAACUCUCAAGUAUAUACACUGAUCAACAACAUUCUCCUGGAACCCAUAAGAGGUGACAAUAUCGUGAAAUUUCAAAUACCACUGUCUGGAUGCCUGUUUAAAUCCAUAAAUGGACCUUUUAAGCUUACACACCAUGUUUUCUCUAUCAGUCUCAACAAAACCAUCAGGUUGCACCAUGUACACAUCUUCAGACAAGCUCCCAUUGAGAAAAGCUGUCUUCACAUCCAUCUGAUGCAAUUCUAAAUUGAAAUGAGCUACCAAUGCCAUGAUAAUACGAAAAGAGUCUUUGGUAGAAACAGGAGAGUACGUUUCAGUGUAAUCAAUGCCUUCUCUUUGACUGAAACCCUUAGCCACAAGCCUGGCCUUGUACCUCUCUACCUGACCUCUGGCAUCUCUCUUGGUUUUGAACACCCAUUUGCAACCAAUUGGUCUACAUCCAUCUGGCAACUCAACUAAAUCCCAAACCCCAUUAUGAUACAUAGAUGCCAUCUCAUCAUGCAUCGCAUGUAUCCAAGAUGAUGAUUCUGAACAACUGAUGGCCUCUUGAAAGGUAAUAGGAUCAGAUGAUGAGUCAGCAUUAAAAUCAUGUUCCUGCAAGUAAACAACAUAAUCAUCAGGAAUUGCAGGUCUCCUGAUCCUCUCUGAUCUCCUCAAUUGCACAUCAGUAACAUCAUCCACUACAAUCAUAGGCUCCAUAUCAUGAUGAAGUUCAGGAUCAACUGAAGAAACAUCAAUGUGUGAUAAUCCCAUCGCAGAAGUCGGAAAAGAUAGAAUAGGCAAAACCACACGUUCUUCUCUUAAUGUAAGACUGCGAGGCUCAGAACUCACACCAUUGUGAUCAUCCUCAAAAUAAAUGGCACGAUCAGACUCAAUGAUUCUAGUAGUGUGGGAAGGACAAUAAAAUCUAGAACCCAUUGAGCCUAUACAAUAGCCAAUAAAAUGACCACUAAUGGUUUUCGAAUCAAGUUUCCUUGAUUGUGGAUUAUAGGGCCUCACUUCUGCUCUGCAUCCCUGGACAUGGAAAUGACGAAGACUCGGUCUCUUCCCUGACCACAAUUCAUAAGGAGUUUUGGGCACCGACUUACUAGGUACCUGAUUCAAAAUGUAAGCUGCAGUUCUUAAGGCUUCACCCCACAGAAAAUCUGGUAAGGUGGAGUUACUCAGCAUACACCGCACCAUGUCAAGAAGGGUACGAUUUCUCCUUUCUGCAAUUUCAUUCUGUUCAGGAGUUCCGGGCAUUGUAUACUGGGCUUCUAUUCCACAUUCCUGAAGAAAUUUAGCAAAAGGUCCAGGAUUACGCCCAGUUUCAUCAUAUCGCCCAUAGUACUCACCACCUCUGUCUGAUCUUACUGCUUUAAUUUUCUUGCCCUUUUGGAUCUCAACAUUAGCCUUAAAGGCUUGAAACACAGAUAAAGAUUCAAACUUUUCAGUAAGAAGUUCAACAUGACCAUAACGAGAAAAGUCAUCGAUGAACGUGAUGAAGUACUUAUAACCUCCAAUAGCAAUAGGAGUAAAUGGCCCACAGAUGUCUGUAUGUACCAACUCCAACACCUGUUGACUCCUCCGAGUUCUCUCUUUUCUGGCUUUGGCAGUAAGUUUGCCUUUGAUACAAUCAACACAAGUGCCAAAAUCAGAGAAAUCUAAAUUAUGAAGAAUGUCAUCUUUAAUGAGCCUUUCCAUCCUCUGUUUAGAAAUGUGACCUAACCGUUUAUGCCACAACAUAGAGGAAUUUUCAUUAACCCUCGCACGAUUAGAGCUAACAACAUUCAUAACAUGAGCAUUGGAUGAUGAUUCAACAGCACGAGAAAAUAAAUCAAUCAUAUAUAAGCCAUCAUAUAGAGUGCCAGAACCAACUAACUCUGAAUUGCGGAAUAAGUAAACUUUUCUAUCACCAAAAUGAAAAGUAUAGCCACAUCUAUCCAAAAUAGAUAUAGAUAUCAAGUUUCUCCUUAUAGAAGGAAUAUAAGUCGUAUCUAACAGAUCCAAAAAAUAGCCUGUGGCUAGAUGUAGUCUGACAACUCCUAUACUUUCAACUUUGGCUGUCACUCCAUUGCCCAUGUGAACUAUCAACUCCCCUUCAUUGGGCUCCCUCCUGCUUUUGAAUUCCUGUAAGGAAUUCGUUAUAUUAAUGGUUGCACCAGUAUCCAACCACCAAGUAUCAGAAGGAACAUCAACUAAAUUAGAUUCAAAGCCUACAAAGGCUACAUGAAUACCUUUCUUUUCCAACCAUGCUUUGAAUCCCCUGCAUUCAGCUCUAUUGUGCCCAGGUUUCUUACAAAAAUGGCACUUUCCCUUAAAGUUCUCAGAAGUGGAACCAAAAGUGGUAGAAGAAUUACCACGUGAAGUUUUCUUUCCAAACUUUUUCUUCUUGAAAAACUUAUUGCUGCCCUUUGAAGAGCCUUUCUUCACACUCCCACUCUCUUGAGUAGUUGCCACCAUGACAGUGUGAGAUUUCCCCUUCUUCAAUGAUUCCUCUUCUUGAACCACAUAAGCAGUCAACUCAGUGAUAUUCCAAGUGUCUCUCUGAGUAUUGCAUUGGCUUCUCAAAUUGCCAAAUUGUGGUGGAAGGGAUUCAAGGAUUUGGAAGACUAGGUAGUCAUCAGGCAGAUUGACAUCCAUGUCCUUUAACUUCUUAUGGUAACUGGUCAUCUUAAGGAUGUGCUCUCUGACCCCAGAAACACCAUCAUACUGGGUAUUAGCAAGCAGCCUCAGAUAGUUACCCUUUUCUGCCUUAUCUACCUUCUUAAAAGUUCUUCCAACAGCUGCCAAGUAAUCUUUGGCCUUAUCACAUGCAUGAAUGCUAUCUCUAGUUGUUCUAUCAAUGAUGUAUUUCAUUGUAUCCAGACAGUGUCUAUUGGAUUCAUCCCAAGCUGCCCACUCUGCUUUUCCAGCAGCAGUGCUCUUAUCUGUGGGCUUGGCUGGUUCAUCAACUCUUAAUGCCAAGUCUCUAUUCAAUGUAGACAGAUAAAACAAAAUGGACUCACACCAGUCCUCAAAAUUUGUCCCAGUUAAAUUCUUGAGGGAGGCUACUUGGAGAAAUGAGAGAAUAUCUAGAGCUGAGGAAGCAAUAACAAAAGAAUUAUCAAGCAUGCAAAAAAUUAAAAUCAUGCUAUACUCAAUUACUCUUCAUUCUAAGUUUCUCCAAUAGCAACACAAUAUGUUAGGCAUCCUUUAACAAUAUAGGAGUGCACUAACCUAAAGAUAAAGCAGACAAGUUGAAUAUAACACCAACAUUGACCUAUUACCGACAGGGUAAUCAAGCCACUCAGUAGAAAAUACUCAACAAAUCUCUUUAUCUUCCCAAGUAUCCUACCAAGUAGUGAUUUUCCGACAAGGAAGUAUCAUCACCCGUAUGGAUCUUGGUAAUAACAAUAACAAUUCAUCGCAAAAUUCAUAAUCAAUAAUGACAAAUGGGCAUCUAAUUGCAAAAUACGAAAUAAUUUAUCAUGAUUGGCCCUACAAUAAGCAGAUACACAAUCACUCUAAAUUGUAGUUUUGCAUCAUAUAUAUAUUUCAUACAUUAACAAAAUUGAGGCUAAAUAAACUUUGUCAAACGCAAUUAAAGUUUCUACUAAGAUAUUAAAUCAAAAAAAAUAUCUACACGCCUCAAUAAAAUAUAUGAAUUUUAUGCCCAUAAUAUCCAACAAUGAUGGAUUAUUAUAAAUUCUAAAUUCUAAAAAAUCGCCAAAAUUGUAAGGCUUUUGGACUAAAGUGACGAAUUUUCAGAAUUAUGAUUACUGUUUUAAAUAUUAAAACUAUUGGCCCAAACUGUAAAUAAAAUAAAAUAAAAUGUUGGGCCAUAAUAUAAUUUAUCAUAAUUAAAGGGACCAAAUGAUGUUUGACCACGCUGACCUUCGGUCAAGGACCAUUAUGAAAAUUUUGCAAAUAUUUUGGGCCAUAAUGACAUUUCGUAUAAAGUUUAGGGUAUGUCAAAAUCAGACUCAUUAACACAAUAUUUGAUCACUUAAUAAAUGUCAAGGACCAUUACUUGUCCAUAAUGUCAAGGACCAUUACUUGUCCAUAAUAUACUACUGUCUAGGGUAUGUCAAAAUCAGACUCAUUAACACAAUAUUUGAUCACUUAAUAAAUGAGUCUGUCAAAAUUGCUCCAUAAUAUUUGACAAUAGUCACGUAUUAAUUCGGUAAAAUAUAGAAAACAAUUAGAAUGAUUUAUGCCAGUCCACAUAAUGUGAGAAAUAAAUCUAACAAUAACUUUCAGUUGAGAUCAGGAAUCUUAAAAGGUCUCGUUAUCUAAUGGUGUAUCAGUACAAUUAUACCGCAGGUGCAACAGUAGCAGAAGAAGCAGCAGUAAAAUUACACGAGGGCUUUGGGUCUCUAACGAAUCUGCAGAAGUUGUGUAUUAUAGAUGCUGACUCUGAAGCGCUCAAAGAGCUUAUGAAGCUAAGGCAGUUAAGAAAGUUGAGCAUGAGGCCCCAAAAUGGAAGUGGCAAGGAUCUGUGUGCUUUGAUUGCAAAUUUCGAAAACCUAGAGAAUUUAACAGUACUAAUGAAAAGCAAAAAAGAAGUACUUGACUUGCAAUCUUUGAGUAAUCCUUCUCAAUAUCUGCAGCGUCUCUACUUGAAAGGGAAUAUGAAGAAACUGCCGGAUUGGAUUGUUAAACUAAAAAAUGUAAUCAGAGUCCUUCAAGCCUUGCCUAAUUUAUUGGAACUUUUACUCAUAAGGACAUACAACUACGAGCUUUUUCACUUUGAAGCAGGUUGGUUUCCAAAACUCCAAAUAUUGAAUCUCUUUGGCUUCGUCCCUGUGAAAUCGGUUAUAAUAGAGAAAGGUGUUGCGGAAACGUGGGUUGAGCAAUUACUAAUACUGCAACUUCUGGAGAAAUAUAAAUGUGGUGAUAAACAAAUGCAAAGAAAAUAAAACACAAUAUAUUUACGUGGUUCGGCGUAAUGCCUACGUCCACGGGCAAAAACUGGAAGAUAAUUUUACUAACAAUGGAAUUUACAAAAGUGGGAAAAACUCACAAAACCCACAACCCCAAUACACCCAAAUAGAACCUCACUAGAACACUCAAGUGGAAGCUCUCUCAAAUUCUCUCAAAGAACUCACUUGCAAUUGCUCUCUACUUCUCUCAAAUUGGGAUGAUUAACAAAUGAGGAAUUGCCUUCUAUUUAUUAGGAAAAAUGGGGUGCACUAUUGCACCAACCCCAACAAAAUUGUCAACAUAAAUUAGGCACCUACCUUAUGAAUUUGUUGUCAAAUUUGCUUCUCCAAAGUUGAAUGCAUGCAGGGCAACAACUUGUCAAAUAUUUGUGCCACCAACCUCCAAUUUGUCAAGAAACAAACGUGUGAAAAUAAGCUUUGUGGGCUGACUUUUCAACAAAAGGUGCGAUGCCUGAUAUUAGAGAACUGCGGAUUGGGCCUUGCCCAUUGUUGAUGGAGAUUCCUAUUGGAAUUGAACAUCUUAAAAACCUUAAGCAACUCAGAUUUGCUAGUAUGGUUAAACAAGUUUAUUACAUGACAAAAGGCGAGAACUGGGGGAAGGUUACUGAGCAUAUACCAGAUGUCCUUGUCACUUUUGUGCAGGCCGGGCGACUGUUUUAUUAUCGAAAAGAGGAUCUCUCAUCUCUGUCUCCUGAAUAUGUCGAGCAAAUCUGCUGAAGAAGAGGACUCAAAUAGGGAGCAGUCAUGCACGUCUAUGAAAUAAGUAAAUAGGUCUGCCACUCUCCUGCGUAUUUGGAUUAUUUUCUAUUUACUUUUAAGAAAAAUUAUUUUUCUCAUUUUUAAUUUGACAGACAAUUUAAUUAUAUAUAAUUCAAAUAAAAAUUCACCAAGAAAAUUCCUUUUUCCUUGUAAUUUGAGUACGUUUAAUAAAUAAAUAAACAAAUGCAGUAGGUCAGGAAAUCUUUUUCUAGUCAAAUAUAUAGUUAGAAUCAUAUAAUGAUUAGGUAUUAAUGUUAGUAUAGUAAAUUCCGUUAUAUUUUUUGUUACCAUGAACAGAUGGAGUAUAUAUAUCUUGCUUCUAGCGAAUUCAUUGAUGAGUUCAUCGAACCUAUACUGGAUCAGAUUGUGGGGGUAAUGCUACUAUUGAUAUGCUUUGAGUUUGAGUAAUUAUUAUCAGUGUUAUCGUGUAAUACAUGCUUAUGUGAGUGGUUGCUGCUGUGAGUGUGAGUGUAUUUCUAUAUAUUUAAAUCUGAGAUUAUGAUUCUAGAAAUAUUGUAUUAAAAGAAGGUAGGUGACUCUAAUGUUAGAAAAUUACAUAUGAUUUGAUUGAAUUAGCUUUUUUGCUUUUGGAAUUGCUUUAAGUUGCUCAAGGAAUGAUCCCGCAUAGGCUCACUCAUUAUAAUCUAUAUAUUCUAUCAAAGUGUUAGUUUUUGCGUGAAUUAAAGAGAAAGAGUGCUGGAAAUUUCAUUUUAUUUACUUUUCCAUGUCGUGGAUAAAUGAGAGCCGAGUUUUUGCGUGAAUUAAAGAGAAAGAGUGCUGGAAAUUUCAUUUUAUUUAUUUUUCCAUGUCGUGGAUAAAUGAGAGCCGAAACAAUGUUGAGUCUCUUCACAAUAAAAGUAAUUUUCGUACAUCUUUUCCUUCAGCUUUAUGAUACGCAAUGCACAUAGUCCUUAGUCCCUACACCUGCCCCUUUAUUAAUUAUUGGUUGAGAAACUUGUGGGCCUUAAAUGAUCGCAUAUAUACUUUUUUCCUUCAUUAUCACCCUUUCGCACUAAGUAUCACAAUCGUAUAUUAAGGCAACAAAUAUAAUAAAUAAAAUAAAAUAAAACCAUUAAAAGAAAUUGUAACCGCUACCAUCAAUAAAAACCUGUCUUGGUUUGGUUGGAAGAAUUUCCGUAAAAAUACAGAUGGCAUUUGAUUUGAAUUUGAAAUGUUAAUUAAGGAAACUAAUAAACAAGGAAAUACAAAUCCUCAAAUAAAUAAAUAAAUAAGGAAACACAAAUGACCAUAUAUACAUAGGCCGGCCCGGGCCCUUGGACAUGACACCAUAACCCUCCAAUAAUUUCAAUUUUUAUUAUCGUUCCCAAAACACCCUUCCAAACUUUUCCAGCGUUAAUAGUCAUGAAGAUAAUUUAUUAAUUUAAUCAAACAAUAAAGAUAAUUAUGUCAUUUUAUAUUUUUGGGUCAAGUCAAGUGAGGCAUUUUCUUCCAUCCUGAUCAUCUGCCAUGCAAACAUCUGGGUAAACUUUCUUCCAUCUUAUAACAUCAGGGCUUCUUCUCUGAUUCUUAUGGUCAUUCAUUCAUUUCUCUAAUCUCUUUUUCCUCUUACAUGUUUUUUUUUUAAGAUUUUUUUUUAUCAUAUGAUGUGGCAGAAAUUAUCCUGUUUAAAAAAUCUUUAUCCUAAAUUUGAUAUGUUACGUUGUUACUUAACCGUAAACAAAUGAUCAAUUUUACAUGAAAAUAGUAAAAUGACCAGAAAAAUCAGGAGAAUGUAUUAUUAAUGCCUUUGUGUUAUAUAUAUAAAAUUGAAUUUCAUAUGAUGAGAGGCCAAAAUCACCCUGUUUACAAAUCUUUAUCUUCAAUUUGAAUUGUUUGACUUAAAAACUAGAACUAUCAAAUAAGAGUCAGCAUUAGAACAAAAGUUAAAUAUAACAUUCCAUUCCCUUCUUUACAAGGUGGAUAUGAUUUUAAGGUCACAUGUAUUUAGAGGCAAAAUUAGGACUUCUUGCAAGCUGGUGGUUAGACUAUUUUUUUUAAGUUAAAAAAAGAAAAAGAAUCUUAAAGUAAAACUAUUGAAUUAAACCACAACAAUAAGUUCACAUUUUUUAGGUUUGAAAAAUAUUUUUUGAAUUAUGUUUAUUUCAAAAAAAUCAAAUUUCAAAAUUAUGACUACGAUACCCCAUGAUUGCCAUACUCCACAACCUGGCACCGUUAGAUGGUUCUAAAUUAUUGACUUUAAUUAUUUUUUUUAAUUGUCUAAUGAUACUUAGGUGUCGUUUAUUUUUUUUAUCUGAAAUCUGAAUAGACCUGAAUUAGUCUGAAGUCUGAAUAGAUCUGAAUGUCUGAAUCUGAAUAAUAUGUUUGUUUUUUCGUCUGAAUCUCGAAAAAUAAGUAUUAAGUUGUUUGUUUUUUUCAACUGAAAAAGCUGAAAAUAUGUACUUUUACAUUUGUAUCCUUAUUAAAUUUGAAUGUCAAAUAAAUAAUAUAUUAAAUACCACAAUAUUUUAACAUUUAUAAGUAAAAUUAUAUUCAAGUAAAUACAUAAUUAUUUUAGAAUUUUAAUAUAUAAAAUACCAUAAAUUUCAAAUUUUAUCGUAUAUAAUAUAAGAAAAAAAAACAGGGAUAUUUUUAUGUGGGGUAAAUGUCUAUGGGUGAGUUUUGGGAUAGACAUGAAAAAUAAAUUAUAAAACAUGGAUAUUUUUGACAUUAGUAAGUAAUUGACUUAAUUCAAAUUUAUCCAUUAAGUAAAAAGCCAAAAAAAUUGGCUUAUUUUAUUAAGUCAAAAUUAUCUAAAAAGUCUCAUUAAGUUAUAAAAACAAACACCUCUAAUUAACUUAAUUAAUUAAGUUAAGUCACUUUAAGUUAUUAAGUUAAAAAACAAACACCACCUUAGUCUGGGGAGUACGAUACCCUUAGAAAUCAUAGAUAGACACUUUACACAAUUUAAAGCUAAAUGAGUAAUAAAUAUCUUGUCAUAAUUAGUUUACUUGAGACCAAAAAUAGAUUUCUAAAACAAGAUGGAGUGGGAAAGAAUUUGGGAAAAAUGACCGUGACCAAAUUUUAAAACAACUUGAGUGAUAAACUUGUAAAUUAUGCUGUGGUAUUUCGUAAAAAAAUAACAGUGAUAGCUAGUUUUAUAAAUACUAGUAAUUUUGUGAACAACAUAGUAAAAAAAAAAACUAAAUAAUAAUAAUAAUAAUAGUAAUUAUUAUUAUUAUUAUUAUUAUUAUUAUUAUUAUUAUUUUGACGUAUCUUGCUUAUUUGGAAGUCAACAUAAAUUGUAUAUUUGCAAGGACAAGAAACUGUGAUUUAGAAAUUCGAGGAGGCACUGUCAAAUUUCGACACUCUAAAGAAGCUGGGAGCAUCCAUUCUCCAUGGAGUUGAUGCAACUGAAAUGAAGGAACAUCCUGAAUUGAGCAAGCGGAAAUUUGAUAGAAUAAUCUUCAACUUCCCUCAUGCUGGCUUUCAUGGAAGGGAAGACGACGACGAAUUUUUCAAUGAGCUACCUAGUAAGUCCAAUGGACAUAUGUGUCAAUAUAGUGAGUUAAAAAUGGUUAUAUAUAAUAAGAGGGAACUUGAUAUAUAAAGGGAUCCAUAUGAAGAAACGAGUGUUUUUCAUUUCUUAAGUAAAAUGUUAUACAUUGAGCAUAUUUAUAGAUGCAGAUAUUACAAUUUUUCAAAAAUUAGAUACACGUAUUACGAAAGGAUCUCACCAACCGCGUCGUUGCCGUUUGGUGCGGAUCGUGUCUUUGACAACUUCAAUUCGAUGUCGUUUUAUUGACAUUCUCAACACUCCCUGUAAUACCCCAAAUCGCCUGAGGGUAUUUAAAUAUUUUUAAUUUUUAGUGAUCAUUUUAACCCUAUGUCUUUCCCAUUAUAAGAGAGGGAGGGGGAGAGAGAGAUCGAUUGAGGAAAAAAAUGACAGAAGAGAGAGAGAGAGAGAGAGAGAUGGAGAGAAACUAGAGAAAAGAAAAGAAAAAGAGAAGAAGAAUUAUUCUUAGUUCUGCCAUAGGCGACACAUGGGAUCAAGUUGUGUUGUUUGAAUUGGAUAUUGUUGGGAGAACUUUUGGAGGUAAGUUUUAAUUCUUGGUUUUCUUUAUUAAUUCGUUAUGGAGAAACAUGAUUAGAUAUUUGCAAUAGAAGUAGAAACCUAAGAUUUUACAGGAAAUAUGCUGACAAUGCAUUAUUACGCAAAUCAUAAUAAUUUGUACAAAUUGAUUUUCAUUCUGAUUUUUGGAUAUGUUAAGUUAGACAUCUUAUAGAAUGUUUUGAAACUUGUUUCAAGUUAAUCGGAUAAGAUUUCAUUUAGUUACGAUUUUUCAAACUUAGGUCUAAAAGCCUAGAAAUUUCUGAUUUCAGUGAAUAACAUGAAUUACGAAAUUAUUUUUACCAUAGCUAGACUUCUUCAAAAAUUAUGAAAUUUGGAUCAGUGAUUUUUAUAUAUGUCUAAUAUGAUUCUAUAUGUUUUUAUGAUUUUAUGAUAAAACAAUAAAUUGUUUUGUAUUUUUAAACAAGUAUGUUCAAAACAGAAAACUGUUUGAUAGUAUUGAUGAUGUCUGAAAUGCCAAUUAUUUUCGAUAGUUUUUGAAGGAAUUUAGUUAUGAAUUUUUUAUCAAAGAAUUUUCAAUAUGUCAGAAUAUGGUCUAUAAAAUUUGAGAUUUUUCCAAUGAGAGAAUAAUUUAUUAAAAAUAGAAAACAAGGACUGUUUCAUUUUGAGGGUCGAACAUUGAGGACAUUUGAGGUUGAAUUUAGGAGCUAUUUAAAAUGAGAUAUUUGAGGACAUUAAAGUUUAUGAUUGAGACUUGAUUAUAUCUUAUGGAAAUUUUAUUGAUAAUUUUAGGUCGACGAUAUCAGUACGCAUUUGUUACAUGAUGAUGCCAAGAAGUAAGUAAACUAGACUUCAAAACAAAUCACAAUAAACAAUAUGUAUAUGUUUGACUUAUUUGAAAAGUCUAUUUUUGAUAUUUACAUAUGUAGAUUUAUAUGUUUCUGCCCAUGUGUUUAUGUGAUGUAUUGCUAUGUGUUGAGCGUGAUUAUGUACAUGGGUAUAUGUAUGUGUGAAAUUUAAUUGGCAUAAGCACGAAAAUGCAUUGAGUUUUCUAUGAAUGAGAAAAUGGAUAUUAACAAAUGAAAUUUCUACUUUAUGAGAUUUUGCAUUGGGGGUCACCUAUUGAAGCUGUGUGGGGCCACCUCUUGAGACUAUGUGGGGGCCAACUCUCGAGAGUCGACGUGCCGCGAAGUGCCACGCAUGGUGUAAAGUGCCAUGUAUAGCACAAAGUGCCACAUUGUAGGAUACAUAUUUUAUUGAAAGAAAAUGUGGAAGUUUGAAAGGGACAUAAAGAGAUUUUGAUAAGUUUGUUUCAAGUAUUUUGAAAAUAUCAUGACAUAUCAUCCAUGUGUGCAUUAUUUAUAAGUAUGUAUAUAUUUUGGUAUAAGAAAAACUAAUUUGCUUAUUGAGUUUUGUACUCAUUAUAGUUUAUUAUGAUUUAGUUUCCAGAAGUCAUGAUUGAUUCGUGAUGAGUGAGAAGUGGCUUUUGUAUUUGAGGCUUGAAUUAUUAUCGGCUGUAAAAAGUUAUUUAAAUUCAUAUGUGAGUCGUGGUCAGAUUUGCCCUUGGACUGGGGUGUUACACUCUCCCUCAAGCUAAUGCAUAGAUGUCUUGCAUACCCAGCUUGUCUAGGAAUUUUGUAAAUGAUUGGCUAGAAAUGACCUUUGUUAAAAUAUCUGUAAGUUGAUCUUUUGACUGAAUUUUCAACAAUUCUAAGAUUUUUCAUCUAAUUUCUCCUUAAUUAAAAAUCUAUCUACUUGACGUGUUUUGUUUGAUCGUGCUGAACUAGGGUAUGAGCAAUAUCUCAUGUAGCUUUGUUGUCACAGUAUAAUUGUAUUGGUUGUUGCUAUUAAUAGCCCAAAUAUUUUAAGAUACAGCUUAACCAUAACCCUUCACAUACCCCAAGGGCCACGCCUUGAUAUUCUACUUCAGUGCUCGAACGGGCAAUGACAUGUUGUUUGUUGCUUCUCCAUGUGAUAAGGUUGCCUCCCACAAAGGUAAAAGAGCCUGAGGUAGAAUGUUUAUCACUAGUUGACCCAGCCCAAUCUACAUUAGUAUAAACUUCUAUGCUGUUGCAAUCUUUAUUUUUGGAAAAUAUGAUUCCUUUUCCUAGAUUUGACUUCAGGUACCUCAGGAUCAGCAUGAUUGCUUUCAUAUGAUGUUCUCCGGGAUUGUGCAUGAACUGACUUACAACACUCAUUGCAUAAGCAAGAUCUGGCCUUGUGUGAGACAAGUACAUCAAUCUUCCAAUCAGCCUUUGAUAUCUUCCUUUGUCUACUGAAACUUGGUCUAAGGUAAUACAUAACUCCAGUCCUUCUUCUAUUGGGGUGUAAAUAGGCUGACAAGCUGUCAUUCGCAUUUCGUGCAAUAGAUCUGAGGCAUAUUUCCUUUGAGAUAAGAAGAUUCCUUCCUUAGAUCGAGAAACCUCGAUUCCACAAAAGUAUUUUAAGGCUCCUAAAUCCUUCAUCUCAAACUCUCUCGACAAAUACUUCUAAAGAGCUUCUCUUUCUUCCUCAUCGUUGCUUGUAACUACCAUGUCAUCCACAUAGAUGAUAAGGGCAGUGAUUUUACAUUGUCGUUUUUUAAUGAACAAGGUAUGAUUUGCCAAAAAACCUCAAAGACUUUUUGAAUUUCCCAAACCAUGCUCUUGGGGAUUGCUUCAACCCGUAUAAUGAUUUCUUCAAUUUACAUACUUUUUGAUUGAGUCAUUCUAGUCUACUGCAUCCUGGUGGAAAAUCCAUAUAAAUUUCUUCAGUCAGGUUGAUUAGUGUUAAAAAUUAUAUGUUUAUUAAGGGGUAAAAAUGUUAUUUUGUGAUAUUAAUGUAAUUUAUAUUUGUAAUUGUGUAACAUAUUGUGAAUUUCUAAUUAUUUUUUCUAAAUAUUUGAUUUUGUGUAUUUUUGUGUGUUUAUUAGGUAAAAAUAAUAAUUUCAUGCAAUUUGAGGCUUCAAACAAAUGUACGGAUGUCAAAUUUGGAUUCUGGACGUCCGAGAAAUUAUGUCAUUGUCGAGGAGGAUGCGAGACUUUUGUUGUAAAUUUUUAAGUUUUUACCAUGGUAAAUAUGGUAAUUGUAAAAUUAUAAGUUUUUAUCAUGUUAGGUAUGCUAAUUGUUAGUGGAAUGUGUUGGAUAUGCUUGAAUGGAUUAAGUUAGGUUUAUGUUUUAUUAGUGAGAUAAAUGUAAGGUUAAGAUGUAAUUAGAUUUAUUUAUUUGUGUGGUAUAGAUUUGCCAUGUAUUAGUAUAAAUAGAGAGGGGGUAACACACCUCUUCACACCUUCUCUUCUCUUCUUUCCCCCCAAAUUCUUCUUCUCAUCUCUCUUUGUAAUAUAUUUUCAAUCAUUAAAGUUAGUUUUAUUUUAAUUUUCAAAAUCCAUUUUUUAAUUAUGUGUUUUUCAAUUUUAAUAAUUCCCUUUAUUUCAAAAAAUGUUUAGCUAAAUAUUAGUAGUUAGGGGAAGGUGAAACUCUUAGUAAAAAUAUGGUUUAACCAAAUUCUAUUUUUAAUUUUAUAAAUUAAAUUGUUUUCUAUUUAAUUUUAUCCAUAUUUUAUGUUUUGAAAUUUUGAUUUAUUGUAAACAAACAUGGGAGUUUGGCACAAUGAAUUCUUAAUAUCUUAGUAUAAAGUAUGGUAAAAUGGUAUUUUGAUUUAUUGUAGACAAAUUAAGUUUUGGCACAUUAAGUUCUUAAUCCAUAAUAAAAUAAAUAGGAAAAUAAUUUUAAUUUAUACAAUUAAUCUUUUGGGAAAUAAAACAAAAAUAAAAAGAAUUUGUUAAAUUGUAUUUAUUACUAAAAGUUGAUCCAUAACCCUAACUAAUUCAAUUUCAUAGUUUUUUCUAAAAUUAAAUUUCAUAUUUUUAAUUUUAAUUUUAAGUUUUUAACUUAAAUAAACAAAUAAAAUCAUUUCUUUAUGGAUCGACCUCGGACUCACCGAGUUAUAAUAUAACAAGACACUUUUAUACUUGAGAGUUAGAAUUCACUUCUAAUUCAUGUCACAGGUCCCCAUGGAGGAAAACAGUCUUUACAUCGAACUGUUACACUAGCCAAUCCAAGUUUACUGAUAAUGAUAAUAAGAUACGAACUAUAUUAAUUUUUGCUACCGGUGCAAAUGUAUCGGUAUAAUCUAUCCCGUAGGUUUGGGUGUAACCCUUAGCUACGAGCCGUACUUUGUAUCGUUCAAUGGAGCCAUCUGCCUUGUACUUUAUAGUGUAGAUCCAUCGGCAACCCAUUGGUUUCUUUCCUGGUGGAAGCUAGUUCCCAUGUUUGAUUUUUCUGAAGCGAUCUCAUUUCGUCAUUCAUAACCGUUUUUCACUUUGGAUCUUUUAAGGCUUCAUGCACACUGUUAGGAAUAAAUAAAGUAGAUAAUUCAUUCACAAAUAACUUAUUUGAUUCUGACAAGCGAUGAUUAGAUACAAAAUGACUCAUAGGGUAUUUGACUCUACUAGAGAUGUCAUGCUCAUAUGUGGGUUUAGGGAUACCUCUAUUUUGACGCUAGGAAAGUAUUCUUCUAAUUAGACUGAGAUUUUUGGUAGGAACAUCCUCAGGAGAUGAUUGGUUAUGUAUUUCUUCAUGUGCUUCUUCUUGGGAUUCGUUCUCUAUUGUGGUUGUGUCUGAGUUAUUUUGCUCCCUAAAUGUGUCUUCACUUAUCUCAGCUUGAGAAUCAUCACCAUUUCCUUUUUCAGUAUCUUGAAGGUUUACUACCUCAAUAGAGGAUUGAUCUUUUUCAAGUGGAAGAUAUUUAAGAGUAUGAAUUUCCUCUUCAUUAUACUCCCCCUAAAAUUCAGGCUCCGAUGGGUAGUACAUGAUAUUUUCGUGAAAGACGACGUCCAUAGUGAAUUUCCUCUUCAUUACCAGUAGGUAUGGCUGCUGAAAAAGAAGAGAAAAGAGAAAUGAGUUUUACAGAAAAAGAUGAAGAAUAAGAUAAAUGGAUAAUGCAUUAUUCAUUAAAGCAUCAAAUACUGUUAUUGCGUGAAAGAGAUUUCUCUUUUUCUUUUGUUUAUCGCAGAAAUUUGGCUUUGCUUCUAACAUCUGGGCUUCUUCUCUUAAUUCUUAUGGUAAUUCGUUCAUUUCACUAAUGCUUUUUCUUCUCUUAUAUCUUUUUUUUUAGAUUUUCUUUUGAUCAUAUGAUGUGGCAAAAAAUACCUUGUUUAUAAAUCUUUAUCCUCAAUUUGAUAUGUUAAAUUGUCACUUAAUUUGAUGUGUAACAGUAAAGAAAUGAUCAAUUUUAUUGGAAAAUAGUAAAAUGACUAGGAAAACCAAGAAAACGUAUUAAUGCCUUUGUUUUUUUUCUUUUAAUAAUUGGAUUUCAUAUGAUGGGAGGCCAAAAUGACCCUGUUUACAAAUCUUUAUCUUCAAUUUGAACUGUUUUACUUCAAAACUGGAAUUAUUAAAUAAGAGUCAGUAUUAGUACAAAAGUUAAAUAUAAUAGCUUGGUCCCUUCUUUAUUAGGUGGAUAUGAUUUCAAGGUCACAUAUAUUUAGGGGCGAAGUUAGGAACCUUUUUCUAGCUAGUGGUUAGACUAAUAUUUUUUAAGUUUAAAAAAAAAAAGAUCUUAAAGUAAAGCUAUUGAAUUAAACCAUAACAAUAAGUUCACAUUUUUUAGGUUUUAAAAAUAUUUUGUGAAUUAUGUUUAUUUAAAAAUAAAAAUUAUUAAUCUGGAUGGUUCUAGAUUAUUGACUUUUAAUUAUUUUUAAUUAUCUAAUAAUGCUUAGUCUCCAGAGUACCCUUAUAAAUCAUAAAUAGACACUUUAAAGAAUUAAAAGCUAAAUGAGUGAUAAAUAUCUUGUUAUAAUUAGUUUACUUGAGGGCAAAAAUAGAUUUUUAAAAUAAGAUGGAGGGGGGAAGAAGUUGGGAAAAAUGACCGUGACCAAAUUUUAAGAAUGGCUUGAGUGAUAAACUGGUAAAUUAUGCUGUGGUGUUUUGUAAAAAAUAAUGUGGUGUUUUGUAAAAAAUAACAGUGGUAGCUAGUUUUAUAAAUUCUGCAUGGUAAUUUUGUGGACAACAUAGAAAAAAAAUAAAAACUAAAAAACUAAAUUAUUAUUAUUAUUAUUUUGACGUAUCUUGCUUAUUUGGAAGUCAACAUAAAUUGUAUAUUUGGAUGGACUAGAAACUGUGGUUCAGAAAUUCAAGGAGGAACGAUCAAAUUUGGACACCCUAAAGAAGCUGGGAGCAUCCAUUCUCCAUGGGGUUGAUGCAACUGAAAUGAAGGAACAUCCUGAAUUGAGCAAGCGGAAGUUUGAUAGAAUAAUCUUCAACUUCCUCGGCCCAUGCUGGCUUUCAUGGAAAGGAAGACGCGACGAAGUUAUUCGGUGAGCUGCCUAGUGAGUCCAAUGGACAUGUGUCACUAGAGUGAGUUACAAUGUUUGUAUAUAAUACGAGGGAGCUUGAUAAAUAAAGUGAUCCAUAUUUCUUAAUAAUUCGAGAUGCAUGUAGUGUUCAGGAGUUUGCUGGGAUAUUUCCACUUCACCAAUUCUUAAAAAGUUGGCUCCUACACCUAUUCCAUGAUCUUUCUUCCGGUAAUUUUCACAGAAUGCAUAUGAGCCUUGUGGAAGGAUUCUUCAGAAAUGCAAGUAGUAUGCUAAGGACUGAUAGUGAAGUUCAUGUAAGCCACAAAACAACAGCUCCAUUUUUCAAAUGGCAUAUCAAGGAACUCGAUAGCAAACACUCUUUUGGCAAGACUUCACUGUGUCCAAUUUGGAAAAAAUAGACAUCCCAGGUCACAACAACAAGAAAGGAGCUGGUUCGCAAUGCGAUGACCAUUUUCCCUUGAGAAAGUGCAGUACGUUCAAAUUUGGAUUCUAUCGUGCUCGCAAGAGGUCUAAAGUAAUGAGUUAUAGUGGAUUUGCUAUCAAAAGACCUAAGGCUAUUCAAGAGAUUCCAAUCCAAGCGCAGAAGCGUGAAACGGAUCCAUUUGACUGGAGAUAUACUAAUGCAAGGUCAGCUACUGAUGUGAAUGAAUUUACAUUGUGUGUGAAGUUUGAUGAUAGCUGGGUGGGUUACUCUGUUCCAAGCUUCGCCAGAAAUAUGACUGAUCGUCCAGGAUAUAAGAGACAAGCUUUGAUGAGUAAUGCUACGUCCCAUAAUGGCUGCUUUAAUACUCCCAACACGACGCUUGGAACAGUUGCUGACGACUUUCGCUAUCUUGUUCCCGAAUCACCAAUUCCAUAUGAAAGAUAUAACACGGAAGUAGCAGGAUUCCAAAGAGAAAUGCUAGGAGUUAUGAUAAAGCAGUGCGACCAGGAAGAACCUAAAAACGGAUUUUUGUAUCCUAUGGUGGGACGUCACUGUGAGGGAACUUUGAGACCAGCACAGCCGCCAAGGAUGAGAUUGGGAUUUAGUCACCAGCUGCUUUAAAGGAGAAGUGGUGCUAUUAUGCUUUCGUGGAAGAUUGAGCGACUUUUUGUCUUUAGUCGUGAAUUCUAUCUAGUUAAGCAUAUAUAGGUAUCGUAGUGCUGGUAAAAAGUUUUGAUUUGCUUUCAUUUGUGUUUGUUUUAACAAUUAAGAAUUUCAGCAAUCUGUUAGUGUGUUGCAUGGUGUUGUCAAUCUCCCAUUUGCAAAGAACUCGAUCUGUUUCCUGUUGAUAGAACUAAAUUUAGCUUAACAAUAUCGAUGAACUCAUCAAUGCAUUCACCACAAGGAAGAUACUCCUCCAUCGGUCAAUUAAGACAUGCAAAUUAUAGUAAUGCUACAAUUAAUAUACUUUUAUCAGUGUUAUUAUGUAAUAUAUGCUUAUGUGAGUGGUUGCUGCUGUGAGUUAAUGUAAUCUUUGUAUAUCUAAGACAAUAAUUUUAGAAUUGUUGUAAUUCUAUUGUCAUCAUAUCGUAAUCAGGUUUUAAUUAAAAAAAAAAAAAAAUUGUGUCCCAAUGUGAUUACCACUGCUGUAUGUUAACUUAUGCGGAAUGAUGCAUGCCUUAUUUAUGUUUGAGUUUUCAAAUUAUUUUAAUCAAACAUGUGCAGUUGAUAAGAAUUGUCCUUAGUUUUAGAUUCGAUAUACUAGCAAUCAUCAAGUAAUUGAUUAUCACAUAUAUUUUGGAAGUAGGAUCUAGUACAAUUGAUAAAUAGGCCAAUCCCAAACACGUACUAAGGAGUUGUUUGUUUUUUGUUUAAAGUCUAAAUUUUACUUAUUUUCAGACAUUUAUUGUUUUUAAUUUAUUAGUUUUCUAUCACUUAUGUUUGGUUAUAAGAUGUUUAUGUCUGAAUUAAAAAACUUAAAUAUUUUAACUUUUAUCUAAAUGACAAAAUAUCUAAAUAUAACUUUAAUAUUCUAUCACUUAUGUCACUGUCAGGACACUUUGAAAUUAGCAUAGUUGCCAAGGAUAAGGUUGGGUUUUAGCUGCCAGCUUUUAGGGAGAAGUGGUGGUGUAGUACCCCAAUUCUCCUAAGGAUAUUUACGUCUUUUUAAUUUUUAAUGAUCUUUUUUAUCUUAGUAUAAAUAGAAUAAGAUGUCUUUUCCAUUAUAAGAGAGAGAGAGAGAGAGAGAGAGAUGGAGAGAAAAGAGAGAGAAUAAAAGAAAAAGAAAAGAAGAAAGUCUUUUUCUUUGUUCUGUCAUAGGCAACACAUGGGAUCAAGUUGUUAUUGUUGGGAGAAGUUUUGGAGGUAAGUUUUAAUUAUUGGUUUCUAUUAAAUUGUUGUGGAGAAGCAUGAUUGCAAUAGAAGUAGAAACCUAAGAUUUUGCAGAAAUAUGCUGAUAGUGAAUUAUUACGAAAAUCAUAGUAAUUUGUCCAAAUUGAUUUUGAUUCUGAUUUUUGGAUAUGUAAAACUAGGCAUCGUCUAGAAUGUUUUGAAACUUGUUUCAAGUUAAUCGGAUAAGAUUUCAAUUAAUUAUGAUUUUUCAAAUUCAAGUCUGAAAACCUGGAAAUUUAUGAUUUCAGUGAAUAACAUGAAAUACGAAAUUAUUUUUACCAUAGCCAGACUUCUUCAAAAAUUAUGAAAUUUGGACCAAUGAUUUUUAUAAAUGUCUAGUAUGAUUCUGUAAAUUUUCAUGAUUUUAUGAUAAAGCAAUAAAUUGUUUUGUAUUUUUAAAGCAAGUGUGUUCAAAACAGAAAACUGUUUGACAGUAUUGAUGAUGUCUGAAACGUCAAUUAUUUUCAAUAGUUUUUGAAGGAAUUAAGUUAUGAAAUUUUUAUCAAUGAACUUUCAAUGUGUCAGCAUAUGGUCUGUAAAAUUUGAGAUUCUUCCAAUAAGGGAAUAAUUUAUUAAAACUCGGAGAAUAUGGACUGUUAUGUUUUGAGGGCCGAUUAUUGAGGACAUUGAGGUUGGGCUUAGGAGAUGUUUAAAUUGAGAUAUUUGAGGACAUUAGAGUUUAUGAUUGAGACUUGAUUAUAUCUUAUACGAUAUUUAUUGAUGAUUUUAGGUUGAUGAUAUCAGUACGCAUUUGUUGCAUGAGGAUGCCAAGAGGUAAGUAAACUAGACUUUAAAAACGAAUCACAAUAAACAAUAUAUAUGUUUGACUUGUAUGAGAAGCCUAUUUUGAUAUGUACGAAUAUAGAUUUAUAUGUCUCUGCUCAUGUGUUUAUGUGAUGUUUUGUUAUGUAUUGGGCGUGAUUAUGUACAUGGGCAUAUGUAUGUGUGAUGGUCCAUUGGCAUGAACAUGAAAAUGCAUUGCGUUUUCUAUGAAUGAGAAAGUGGAUUUUAGCAAAUGAGAUUUUUGUUUUAUGAGAUUUUGCAUUGGGGGCCAGCUCUUGAAGUUGUGUGGGGACCACCUCUUGAGACUAUGCAGGGGUCAUCUCUUGAGGGCCACAGCGCCGCAAAGUGCCACGCAUGGUGCAAAGUGUCACUCACAGCACAAAGUGCCACAAUGGCAGAAUAUGUAUUUCAUUGAAAAAAAAAUGAGAAAGUUUAAAAGCGACAGAAAGAUAUUUUUAUGAAUUUGUUUUACAGUAUUUCUAAAAGAUCAUGGCAUAGCAUCCAUCCGCAUUAUUUAUAAGUAUGUAUGUAUUUUCGUAUAAAAAAAAAAAACUAGUUUGCUUACUGAGUUUUGUACUCAUUAUAGUUUAUUGUGAUUCAGUUUUCAGAAGUCAGGAAUGAUUCAUAAUGAAUGAUAAGGUAGACUUGAAUUGAGGAUGAUAGAUGGUUUAGCUAAAUUUUCAAAUUAUUCCGCUGCCUAUUAUAUUGGAGGUUUGAAUUAUUUUGGUUAUUUAAAUUCAUAUGUUAGUGUGGUCAAAUUUGCCCUCGGAGUUCGGGCUAGGGUAUUACAGGUGGUGUUAUGCUUUUGUGGAAACUUGAGCAUCCUUCUACCUUGUGAAUUCUAGUUAAGCAUAGGUUUCCUAGUACAGGUUGAAAGCAUUGAUCAGCUUCCACUUUUGUUUCUUUUAAGAAUUAAGAAUUUCAAUUAUCUGUUGGUGUGUUGUGUAGUGUUACCAACCUCCUAUUUGCAAAUCGCUUGCUCUGUUGCCGUGUAUUUUGGGCAAUCUUUCAAAUGCAACGUCAAUGAAACGAUGCAAAUGGAUACCUCUAGAAACAGAUUCACUUUAUACAAACAGUUCCUGAGCUAUAGACUUAGACAACCUUUCAGGUUGCUAUCAAGUCUGAGUCGUUUCUAUUCAAAAACCAUUAAUGAUUUUUUUUUCUUUUCGUGUUUUAAAAUCUCUCCUACUUCAUUUUCAAUUUCUAGUCAGCAAUCCGCCCUAUUUAAGUCACUGGACUUGUCAUGGCAGUCGCGAUUUCGUAUCAACUGACGUACAACUACCAGCCUAUGUGAUAGCCUAUGUGAAUAGAUUACGUAUUAAAUAUUUUAAGAGCACACCUGCUCCACACACGUUAGUGGGAGAGAUAGCUAACCCAACUCAAAGUCAAAAUUUGGGCGCGGCGCUGAGGGUUGGGGAAUUAAUGCUUGGACUCGAACCAAUUCCAUUGGUAAAUUUCCACGGUAUUUGUAAGGGAGAUAUUUAGCCCUGCCAAAAUAAAUUUACUAUAUGGCACAGCAAAAUUUCUACCCUAUUAGUAAAAGAAGCUGCCACUUUAGAAAAAUUUUCCUCACUUCUCCAUGACCUCGAAAUAAAUAACUUCGUAGUCCAGAAUGACUGAUUUAAUCAAGCACAGCAAAGUACUGAGAGCCGAGUGUUUAUACAUAAUUAUCUUUGAUUAUGUGUAUUUUAUUAAAUUAUUUAUACAGAGUGUUUAGAAAAUUUUGACUCUUUAUUAUUCAAUAUAUUUACAUGGAAUGCUUAAAUAUCAUACUAUUAAAUAGAAAAAGAACUUAUACAAGAUUAAUUUUAUUUGGGCUUAAUUAUUAUAUCCAUGAGAUGACAUAGAUUGAUUUCGAGUUGUCGCUCUAAAAUUGGGGAUUAAUUAAUAAUUAGGCAAUUACUAAUUGAAUAGUGAUAGAUUCUGAAACCUUGGUAAUUUUUGUCUUAUUGAAUUCUCAUUUGCUUUAAUUGUUUUAUUAAUUUAAUUAGUUUCAUUCCUCUUAAAAAACUCAAUUUGCCCAACUAGGUUAGAAUUAAUAUUAAUUUUAGAUUUAAAUUAGACUUUUCAGUUUAUAACAAUUCAUGUGGGUUCGACCUCGUUACCAUUACUCUAUUUUUAAAUUUGUGCGCUUGCAAGUAAAUUAAAAUUUUUCACAGAUUUGUUGCCCGUGUAUAGAACUAAAAUUAGCUUAACAAUGGCAUGUGACAUCAGUUCCUCCUUUUAUUUUGAUUGUCAUUGCUCAAAUUGUCAUUAUAAAUUGCCCCAGAAUUUUUAUAAGUAUGGCCUCUUUAACUUCUCACAAAUUGAGAGCAGAAUGUAUGUGCCUCAUUUUUGGUCUAAUGUGCCUGAAUCUUGAACAGAGAAUAGAGGUUGAAUAGAUAUUUUGGCUAAGUGGAUAUUUUCUUGAACAGGGGACUUUAUUAAUGCAAGAGAACAGUGUGCUAAUGCUUUUCAAAGAUAAAUUCAGUUUCCGCGUACAUUCGAGAUUCCAAGGUGAAUGUCCCUUUUCCUUUACAAACUUGUGAAGCUUUCAAACAAUCAAUUUUUCUUACAUUGUAUAUUUGGAAGAAUUAGAACAAGGGAGCAAAAGAUUCUCAUGCUGAUAGUUCCCAUUCUCCAUAAUUGAUUGUAGCGCGUGUUUUAAAGCAUAUCUAGCAUUAAUGAAUGAAGUAGAAAUUUCAGGAAGCCAAGAAACUUUGUGAGCACUGAUUGCCUCUAGAUUGUACAUUCAAUUGAUCUCGUCUUGGUUGAAGUAGAUGAUAGUAAAUAGUAUCUGAGUUUCAUUUCAGAUUCCAAAAACAAUCCUCCAUGUGAAUGGUUAAGUAGAGAUUCACGUUGUUUUCUUUUUCUUUAGAGGAAUGGCUGACUCCUUUGAUCAUGAAAUUAUAUCACGGCUAUCACAAAAACUCAAGUAAUUCUAUUCAUAUAAUCAAAAUAGAGUUGAGUUCGAGCUCCUUCAUUUUAACUAAUUUAUUAUGAUGCAUAACCACAAAUGAUGAGAUGAUGUUGGAUAUGAUAAUGGGAAUUAGUUGUCAACGAGAAAAUUAAUUUCGCAAGAAUACAGUUAGUCGCAGAACUCUCCUAGUCCUUGGAAGUAAUUUAAAGGACAGGUGCAUCAAUUUGUUUGUGUAGCUUACUGUAUGGUUAGAGAGUGUUGUGUUUUCAAAAGAAUUCAAAUGCGUUACAAAACGGUGCCAUCAAACAAGUUUUUCAUUUUUUUCUUUUUAAAAAAACAAAAGACACCAUGAUUAUAUAGUUUCUCAUUUCUUCUUAUUUUUGGCUGUAAUGCAACAAUAAAUAUUGAUUAAGCAAAUUAGUUUUCAGGAAUACUUGAAGGAUACAUUACACAAGAUAUAAAGAGGAGAUUAAACAAUCCUCCAUGCUGGCUUAGUAAUGACUGUGGUGCAAUUUUGCAAAAGAUUAUAUGCCCGAUAAAAAGAGAGCAUCUGUGGUCAAGUGUGCGCCACACAUAUUAUCGAGUGCGAUAGCGCGUGGGAUGAGCUUUCUUAAGAGGGCGCUGGGCACCACAGCAAAGCUUCCCCAAUGAAAGCUCGCCACUCAUUAAGCUACUCCAGAUAUACACGGCUGCAAAAAUAAACAAAUCAACUUGCAAUAAAAUAAAUAUUAAAAUAAACUGAAAAAAGCUCAAAUGCCGACAAAUUCCACUUUGCUUCAAAAUUAACUUUAUAGUAAGUAUGAAGAAUAAAAUAUAAACAAUCAACUUCCAAGUUGAAAAUUCUGCAUUCUUAAACCAAUGUUCAAACAGUGUAUGCUGAAGCAUCGAUCUGCUUUGUAAAUUAGACCUGCUGGCGUGAUAUGGCGGAGGCUGCGGUGAACUUUGCUAUAGAGACCUUGGGUCCUUUGCUUGUCGAAGAAAUCAGAUUGUGGGGAGGUGUUAGAAAAGAAGUUCAAAGCAUCAAAAGCGAACUGGACAGUCUCAGAUCUUUCCUCAAAGACGCGGAUGCAAGGGCAGCAGUCGAAGAAUUAGAAGGAGGCGGUGAGGAAAGUGUCAGAACUUGGGUGAAACAACUGAGGGAUGAAGCUUAUCGCAUUGAAGAUGUGAUCGACGGGUACACACUCAUGGUGGCAAAACUCCCUCAUGGGAGUGGCCUCGUUGGUGUUCUCCAUAGAAUCAGUCGUUUCAUAAAGAAGCUGAAGCUGCGGCGUGGAGUUGCUACUGAGAUUCAAGAUAUCAAAUCAGCGCUUGCUGAUAUAAAGGGAAGGGGAGAAAGAUAUCGAUUCAGAUCUAUUGAUGAACCAUCGAGCAGUGGAACCAGAAAUGUUAUCCCACAUGACUCUCGAGUUCGUUCCUUUUUCGUUGAAGAUGAUGAAGUUGUGGGCAUCGAAUCCAUUAAAGAUAAAUUGAUUGAUUUGAUGGGGAACGGAAGAUCCGAAC
rnacentral:lncRNA from 1 species